rnacentral:lncRNA from 1 species
UGUAUGUCUCCUCGCAAAAACUUUAAGUGGCAUACCUUCCUCAGCGUACUGAGGCAGGCAGAGACAGCCUUACCGUUGAUGCGAACGAACUGAAGGUAUGGGCCAGGGGUACUCUAGGCCAUGUUGCUGCUGCAAUUGGACGCGUACAUACGUAUACCCCGUCAUGCAUAGGUCGAUUUGGCUGUGGCCGGCUGGCUGUGGUGCUAGUACUGAGGUAGGAUGUGCAGGGAUGUUGGACAUCCUGCUGCCUGUUCCGUAACACACCAUUCACACGGAUGUACACCUUAAUCUGGAACUGCAGCCACAUAGCUCCUGGCAAAGAUUGUCAGUUUCUG